UCCUGCUCGUGCUGAAAAUGUUCUUGGGUCCGACCGUGGCACAUCGAUACAAUACUUGAUGUUUCUGAUCUGGGGAGAUACCGUUGGCUUUUGUAUAUUUUUAACUGGUUAGAACAGACGAUCAAGAAGUAUCAACUUAAAAACAACAAGUCCUGUAUUGUACUUCCAGAAAUUAAACCAUGGUAAACUUGAGAAUUGUCAAGAAUCGGAGUCUGGCUUUCUACAUGGACUGCGACGGAGCUUAGCACUAUGGCAUCAACUGUUUAAUCAGAGGUGAUAAUCAUAUGGCGGAACCUCAAAGGAUCACCUUACAUGAGCAAGAAGCACCGGAUCUUGUUCUUCAACCACUACAAGCAUAGUAUUCGAAUUUAGAUGCUAAUUUUGAAUUGAAGAAUAGCUUGAUUAAUUUGUUGCCUAAGUAUCAUGGAUUGCCAGGCCAAGAUCCUAUUAGACACUUGAGGGAUUUUCAAGUGGCUUGUUCUACUGUUAGGAGACAUAGCUCUGAUGAAGUUGUUGUUAUGGUCUUUGAUUUUCUCUUCUCUCUUGAGGGGCAAGCAAAUGAGUGAUUUUAUUCUCAACCUAACGAAGUGGUAACCAAUUGGGAUUCAUUGAGAAGGAAUUUCUUGGACAAAUUCUUCCCUCUGGAAAGAACCAAUUACAUUCGGAAGAAAAUCACUGGUAUUAUGCAAAGGGACCAAGAGUCACUCCAUGAUUAUUGGACUAGAUUCAAGAGAUUGUUGGAGUCUUGUCCUCAUCAUAAGAUAGAUGAUCAUUUGCUCAUUAGCUACUUUUGUGAAGGCCUUUGUGCACAAGACAAGAGGCUCCUUGAUGCAUUUAGUGGUGGCUCUCUUGUUAAAUACAAAACAGCGGAUGAAGCAUGGAGAUUGAUUAAUGAUGUUGCCAAAGCUACUCAACAUGCUAGAGUAAGAAAUAAUCCUGCAAAGAG